UACGAAGGGGGCUAGCGUUGUUCGGAUUUACUGGGCGUAAAGCGCACGUAGGCGGAUCGUUAAGUCGGGGGUGAAAUCCUGGAGCUCAACUCCAGAACUGCCUUCGAUACUGGCGAUCUUGAGUCCGGAAGAGGUGAGUGGAACUCCUAGUGUAGAGGUGGAAUUCGUAGAUAUUCGGAAGAACACCAGUGGCGAAGGCGACUUACUGGAUCAUGACUGACGCUGAGGCUCGAAAGCGUGGGGAGCAAACAGG
rnacentral:rRNA from 1 species